rnacentral:rRNA from 1 species
UAGAUGCGAGAGUAGAGCAUAUCAAUAAGCGGAGGAAAAGAAACUAACAAGGAUUCCCUUAGUAACGGCGAGUGAAGCGGGAAGAGCUCAAAUUUGAAAUCUUCAAGGUUCUACCUUGACGAAUUGUAGUUUAAAGAAGUGUUUUCUGUUAGAUGAGUAGCAAAAGUUCCUUGGAAUGGGACAUCAUAGAGGGUGAGAAUCCCGUAUUUGGUUAUUCAUUCUAGCUUUGUGAUACACUUUCAAAGAGUCGGAUUGUUUGGGAAUGCAGGUCCGAAAUGGGUGGUAAAUUUCAUCUAAAGCUAAAUAUUGGCGAGAGACCGAUAGCGAACAAGUACCGUGAGGGAAAGAUGAAAAGAACUUUGAAAAGAGAGUUAAACAGUACGUGAAAUUGUCAAAAGGGAAGCGUUUGACACCAGUGUUGUUUUUCCGAAAAUCAAUUACGAAUGGCUUGAUUUUGUGUUGUAUUGACCUUAUCAGCUUUCUGCACUUUUUUCGAGUCUUUCUUAAUGCACUUUCGGUUAACAAGUCAACAUCAAUUUCUUUUGUUGUAAAAGAGUAUUCGGAAGGUGGCUUUCUUUUCGGAGAAGGUGUUUAUAGCCCUAUACUUCUACAAUCGGAGAGAUUGAGGUCUGCAGCGUAGAUCCUUCGGGGUUAGAUACACUUGUGCUAAGUUGUAGCUUUUCAUAGACAACUUGUUGACUAUGUUUAGUCAUGCGGCUUACUCGCUUAUGCUAUUUUACCUACGCUUAGGAUGUUGAGCGCAUGUCUCUCUCU